rnacentral:lncRNA from 1 species
UAGGAAUGAAGGAGUAUAAUUUUGUGCAUGGCACAUGGACCCGGAUGAUGAAGAGGCUUCUGGCAAUGCUAUCAAGCUUCCAUCAUUUGUUUACAUAAUUGACAUACUAUACAAAUAAUUUUCCAGCGAGACAUAAAAUUGUACAAUGGUGUGAGCUUUCAGCUUCUGUUUCGCGUGUCUUGCCAUCGAUGCUCUUUCGGAAACAAUAAAAAAACUAACUUCCUUGCUAAUGCAUAUCAAUUAUUAGCAGAUCAGAGCUAAUAAUUACAUCACAACUGAAGACAGAGUUGUGAGAAGGUGUUAAAUUAAAAUUGAUCCAUGCUUUCAUUGGCAGCAACGUCCCCCCAGCUCUGUCUAAAUCAACAAGGCAUGUUGGAAAAAAAGUAGCUGUCUGGAACAUGCAACAUUCCAAUCAUUUUGUGCAGUCCCACUAAAAUAGAGCUGAGCGUCACUGUUCCAAAGAUAUUAAGUGUGAUUACGAUAAUAAAGGACUGUUGAUGAAACAAUAAACACAUAAAUAGAAGCCGAUCACCUUUGCAGUCUCUUUUAAGACUAACUAGUUGGAGAAGAUUAGGCUCGGAGUUGGAUGAGGAGGAUAGAGCAAAACCAAUCUCCCUUUAUGCAGUCGCACUGAAAUGUAGAAACGUUACCCAUGUGACAUUUUAGUACAACUGCACAAAACACUCUUACGAAAAAAGUGAUUUGUGCAGUUCACCAAAAGGUCGCAAUAGCAACGAGGUGAAAUGGAUAGCCCUGUUUGCAAAAAGAGGUAGAAAGGAAACAAUUACUGGCCGAUAACAGUUGAUGACACAUGCGACGACAAAAAAGAAGCAUAUUCCUUGCCCUAAGGGAAGAUAACAACACGGUUGUGUUUGUCUAAAACGGUGUGAGGACGAGAAUGCAAUAUGGAAAGUACGAUGGACGAGCCACGUUUUGGGCAAAGAACUAUGGAAGAUCCACAUGCAGCAACGUGGGAAGACGGGCAGUGGAGCAAGGCCGGAGGGGAUACCUAGAGGUCGCCCGGGUGUAACUAGGUGAGCGGCGGCGGGCGGAAUCUGCGAGCAGGUGGCGUAGGCCCUGCCACGCCGGAGCUUGGUCAGAGAGAACGGCGUGUACCGCAUAUCGGGACGUGCUGCCUCGGCGCCGUCGAACGGAGAAAUGAUGCACUUCCUCCCUUUCCCCCGGCGGAGGGGAUGCGGCCGGAUCAGUGACCAACAGUGAGAGAGAGAGAGAGGCCACCGCACUCCCUUUCCCCCGGCGGACGGAAUGCGGCCGGAUCAGUGACCAGCGCUGAGAGAGAGAGGCCACCGCAACCUUGUGUGAGAUACUCUGAAGAGCGACAAACCAGACACGCAAGGCUCCAUUGUAUAUAGUGAGCGGACUACCUUUUUCUCCAUAAAAAUCUCUUUUAUAUUCUGUGUACGUGCCAUUGAGCGCUAUAACUUUAUUUAAAAAUAACGCGGCAAUGCGUCAAGUCGAGCUUUGUUUCGUGCAGACGUGGUACACGACCUCGUUAGGUAAACAACCACUACAGGUGUUCAAAUUAGCACGUGGGCUGCCAUUUCGUAAAGAAAUGAGCUCCAUCGUGUACCCGCGCGGGUGUGGCUGGGCACGAAGCGUGAGUACGUGCACGGUGCACCUAUUCUCUUCUUGUAUACGUACACCACCUACGUGGGGUUGUGUGAGAGAGAUACAAACCUACAGAUAUAUAGUGUGUGGGUUCUUGAGAGUUUUUUUGGGGAGGAGGUUCAAUCAAAAAAUGUAACAUAUGCAAUGUGUGUUAAAUAGAGUCGUGGAUAUAACAUAUAUAUAUAGAGGGGGCGAUCCACGAGAAGAGAGUGGAGGUAUUACCGGCUUGAGGUGUCCAUAGAAUCGAAAAGAAGGAUGAUGUGUGUGUGUGUGUGCACGCGCGAUCGAUAAAGAGUGCCAUCGAAUUUGUGUGUGCCCACGUCAAAGAUAUAGAGUGGUUGGCCUACUGGAAUGUGAGAGGGGACAUGUGCAGUUUGUCUCUGUGACAUGGAUACCUACCUGCAGCGCUCGACUAUCGGUGUGUGGUGGGGGAAGAGGGAGGCCCAAUUAAUUAUAGAGGUACAAUGGCUGGUAUAUGUGUGGAGGAGGAGAGAGGCCUACUUCAUGUAUUAAGGAUAUCGAUCUGCCUCAUGUAUUAAGGGAGAUCGAUCGGCAUCCAUGCAUAUGUGCAUCAGAGGAAUAAGGUUGGGAGAGAGACAGAGCUAGAGUGUUGGAGGGGGUGGUAGUGGAGUUGCUUCUAACAAAUGGUGGGAUAGGCUUGCUAGACAAACGGAGGCCACGCCCGCAAUAUCAAUAAGAGAGGAGAUGGCUGCUUGUUGUCUGUGCACGUGCGUGUGAGAGACGGGUCAGGAGGCAUGCACGAAUGAUGAGGGGGGACAAUGUGGUUGUGGUAAGCAGACAUAACUACAUAGGAAGAUCAAUCGCCCUUUGUUAGAGAAAGGAGAGACAUAACUUGUGACGUACGUCGAUCCAUGGGGGGGUAGUUAAAGUCGAUCCAGGUAUAUGUUGGGAGAUCGAUCGGUAUACAUGCAUGUGUGUGUUAGAAGCAAACGAGGCACGAGGAGAAGGAUAGAGAUAGAGGGAUGCAUGUAGGAGGUGGUACGAGAGGCAUACUAUAUCGAGCGGGGAGGAGUGUGCGAGUACGAGAACGAUGAAAAGAGUGGUGGGAGUGAGGCAUGGACGGUGACAAGAGAAGAGGGGAAGCUUGUGUUUGUGCUAGGCACACCUGGCUAGAGAGGCAUAUCGAUCGAUGUGUGCCGUAAAUAAGGAGCUGGGGGGCCUACACACACCAUGGGUGAACGACCUAAAGUGAAAAGACGAAUUUGCGCGAUGGAGCUAGAAAAUGCUGAGGGAGGGUGAGAGGGAUGCGGGAGUGUGCAUGCACAAGAGAAAGUUAGCGCUAGCUACAAAAAUAAGAGGGUUGUGUGGGUGUAAAAGACGAAUAGAGAUCAUAUAUACUUCAUUAUAAAAAGCGAAUUCGAAUAUUUGAAGAAUUUAUCAUAGUGUUUUAAACCGACGGAUGUGUGAAUCUAACAUAUAAAGCCUCCUAGAGUACCCGCCCAUCUGGGGGCAUCGCUAGAGCGCGUCGGUUUUGACCACCCGAUCGAUCUCCUACAGUCAAUUUUUGGCUGCAGGCGGCUGGUCAGCCAUCCGCUUUUUUUCACUUUCGUUCCUGAUUCUGGAGAGGAUGGCAGGUGGGGCUCGAUAGACGUGGGGCCACGGAGUCAACCUGAGUUUCCUUCAUCUUUUGGUACGCGGAGUCUUCAUCGCGUGCUCGCCAAUCACGAUCUGGGUAAAAGCAACCCUAUCCCACCAGCCAAUCCUACAGCCGCCUCCCCGCUUCCUCCGCACCUCGCCCCACGAGCCCCUCUCCCCUCCGCCGCCUCCUCUCCUUCACCUUUCUCUCGGCAUCGCCACCAAAGGAGGCACACAUGGGCGGUGGAUCCGUGCCAGAUAAGAGCGGCGGGGACUGUGCUCCGGUAGCAAUGGGGUGCAGCCGGUCGCGGGGAAGAUCGCGCCGCCGCCCUUUCCUUCCUCCAUCCCCGCCCCUGCCACGAACCCCUCCUCUUCCCCUUCCAUACCGGCCUCUGCCGCUCUCCUCGUUGGGCAUCACUCCAUGUUGCGGAGGACGGUUUGCAGCCUGUGCAGUUGAGGUGAGGAACCGGAGGUGGGGGGAAGGAGCAACAAUGGGGAAGAUGUUGUGUGCGUUGUGGGAAGCAGCUUGUUGAAAGCCCUGGCUGGCCAGGGGAUAUGAGCAGGAGGUAAAAACCCUAGAUGCCAUCCUCUUAUUCAGGCUGCAUCCCCACGUCUCGUGUUGCCCUCUCUCCUCCCCAUUGCUCUGCUUUCCCCCCUGAUUUCUCUUUUCCAUUUUUCCCCUUUGUGGUUUGACUAGGCAGUUUAUAGGGUCAUCCAAUUUUUAUUUUGCAGGUGCUAAUCAUGCUGCAAGUUGUUGGCUGGGUCUCUUUCUCCCUAGGGAAGGGAUAGUAGACCUCGGGGAAAUCAAGGAUCUUGCGGUGGCUAUAGCGAUGCCCCUAUCAUCUCAUCCCUCUUUCUAUGUGCUUCUCUCCAUGGACAGCAUCGCCAUGGCCAGAUCGAUGGUUAAAGCCGUAGGUGAAAUAUAUUUCUCUUUAUUAGUCAUUUGUGACAAGCACACUCUUCCUUGAUUCAAUUUUCUUCAGGAUGUGAUUAUUUACUAUUUUUCUCUCGAUGCAGCAUUUUCCCUUGAUUAAGUUCAGAAGAUGGCACUCGUUGCCAGCGGGAUCUCGAGGAACAUGUGACCUCCAUGGUGUUCACUGCCAGACGGUGUGGCAAGGAGGGGUACCUUCUGCAGCGAUCUUUCUUGGGGAACCCUGGGAAACCGUCAUUCAGGUCUCCUACUAAAGCUCCUCCUCGCCACCAGGGGUGCACGCCAUGUCUUCCACCCUGACAUGUAAGUUGCGUUCCACCCAUCCCCAUCUCUCUCUCUUGUUUAUGUUGUCGGAUUGAAUGAUUAUGGUGAUCUCAUGAUUGUGGAAGAUUUCUUGCUCUUCUGGGCUUGUGGAAGUGGCCACUUAUGGAGGUUGAUUGAUUUGGUUGGUUCGAUAGGAUCCCAACCUGAGGAGAAUGAUGGUUUGAAGAUGGCUAGGUAAUGUGAUAGAUUCAGACAUCUUAUUUGUUGGGUGUGUAUUUCUUUUUAAAUAGGCAAUAUGUUCUUGUUUGAUUGCUCUACAAGGUCUCAAAUAGUCAGCUACCAUCAUUCUUAAAUCAAAGGAAAGAUUACUGCACUUGUAGUUAUGAUAUGUGCUAAUAAUGAAUUGAAAACAUGAAAAUUGUAACCUGAAGGUUUGAGCGUUGUCACCUAACCUUUUCUGUUUAUAAUGAACACCAGGGUAUAAAUCUUCAAGUGCCUUUCUUGUUUAAGCUUGUGUGCGAUUAGCUUGCAGCCCUUGGUAGCACUAAGACUUCACUGGCAUCAUUUACAACCCUAUUGGCUCUCUUUGCAGCGGCCUGUGGGGCAUCGACCAGACUGGCAGCGACCCCAAUGGAGGGGAAGGGCUCGACAGGCGCUUCCAGGCAGGAGAGGCUUGGGGGCCUCGUGGAUUGGGAAGAUGGCGGCCACCCGGGUUUCUUCGAUCGAUCUGCGAUCUGGACAGGGCCACGGCAACGCGGGCGUCGGGCGUAGGCGAGCGACCCUCUGUAGCCACAUGUUGACAGGUAGAAGGCAUAACACUCCUCCCACCUUUGCUUCUCCCCUCCUCCCCUUCACUUCCCACUCCUUUCCAAUCUAGACUGCCCACCUGCGUCCGCAUCUUUUUUCUCUCGAUUUGUACUACUUGAUUCUCUGGUUCUCUUAUAAUCUUGUUUUGAUUCCUCAACUUUUAGUUACCUGUCAAGACUAUAAGAAGAAUUUUGAGGAAGAAUUUGAUCAAGAAGACCAAGGUGAAUUAUAUCUCUCUUGAACACAGUCACGCCUGUUUCUGCAUUUUUGGAUUUUUCUGUGUAGUAGAGCACAUGCCAUGAUUUUGUACUCCUCUUCCUUCCGCAACCUUGCCUGCCGAGCGCACUGAGCUGUUUUGCUGUACAAAGAGCCUCUCCCUUUCAAUGUGCCAUGGUGUCCCUCUCCAGGCUAGCUCCAAACUUCUGCCCCCAUCAUUCCCAUGGUGUCUAAGAAUAUCAUGGGGAAGAGGCUCUGGGAGAGGGGGUUUGGUUUUACUUUUCUGGUUUUGCAACAUGAUGCGACGAAUUUCUCUUGCACGUAUGGCUUUAUUCCUUCAUUUACCAUAUGCAAAUCUUAAUCUUCAAUUUGUUUGGUUUCCUAUGAGUGGAGAUUACUGUGAUGCUAUGUAAGCGUAAAGUGUAGAGUGAAUCAGAUAUGUGCUAGGUCCACUAAUUUAGCUCAUUACCUUGCUUCAUUGUUGUGUAGAUGCAAAACUUGUUUUCCCUUGUGCUGAAUUUGCCACUAUUUUUCAUUUCUUCUCAUUAUGAUCUAAUCAAAGUGACUCGACAUAUUUGAGUCUCUCGUGCAUGUCUGGUUUGGACUUGCCCUUAUUUUUUACCAAAUCACUAAACUAAACUGUAUAAAUAAAAUAGACCCCUUCCUUUCCAACACCUUAUAUAUUAUUAGAGUGAGCAAUAACAUGUUAUCAUAUUCGGUUUCUUGUGAGCAGCACUUCAGUUCAGAUUGUCAUAUACUCUUUGGUAUAUAGCAUUUUUUGCUUAUAUCUAUUGCCUAUUUCACAUAGAGAGAUGGUUUGCUUUGGAGAGGAAUUAGAUAAGGCCCAUGAGUCCUAAGUAAGUGUGAUAAGCAAGCCCUGCACUUCUAUUUACUAUUAAGCGUCAACUAAAUUUUUGAUAAUGGCAUUUCAGAGAUAAUACAAUCAAUCCAACUGUUAACUUUGGUGUGCUUUUUGGACGGACUAAUAUGAAGAUGCUGGCUAGCUCGCAUUGCCAUCAUAUAGUCUAGAAGCAAGGGCAAGGAUUAUAGGGAAAAUAAAGGUACAUUGAUCCCAAUAUAUUUUACCUUCUCGACGAAGUUUUGGUGCUUGCGCAAGAAAAUAACACCAUCAUUAUACCUACUGCUCAUUUUUUAUUCAGGCAAUUAGCCAUCAAUAGGAAAAGCCAACUAAUUGUACUUUAUCUAUUGCAGAGGUGAAAUUACUACUACUUUUCGAAAGUUUUUUUAUGCAUGUUCCCCUUUCUUAAUCUUCUAUUUUUUCAAAUGUACAUACCUGUGCUUAUAAUCAUUAUUACACUUGGUUCUACUGCAAGAGCAUACUUUAUCUUUCCAUUUCCAUCAAUCCAUCUUGAUGUGUGAUCGGGUUGUUGUGUGAUGCUGUUAGCUAUUGAUAUGGUGUCUGCUUAUGUCUAUUCAUAAGUACACCCUUUGCCUAUUGUUCGGUUGAGACGUAUAGCAAGCACAAGAAAAAUCUGCUAAUGAGUCCUUAGCUAGCUUUUGAUAUUUUAGUCCUCUGGCCUUGUUCACACAUAGCUCCAGAAUUAGGGAACUAGAAAUAACUGAUUCUUGUCCCCAAAAAACGGCUAGGUAAUUUUCAUAGACCUUCUGACCUUCAUUAUUAUAUGCUUUUGCAUUUGUUGCAUUCGUUCUUUCAGGUUGUUUUAUUAUUUUUUCAUGUUGGCUUUAGGAUGCCCAGUGUAUUUCAGCUCAUAUGUACAUGUAUUGUGUAUGGUUUAUUUGUCCUAUCUGCCGGUGUCUGAGCAUGACAAGCAGCAAAGAGGGAGGGGGGAUUUUUCAAGUACAAAGCAAAAUGUGCACAAAAUAGAUGCGGCUCACAAUGUCAUAGCAUAGACUGGAAAAAAUAUACAUUGUAUAUAUAUCAUAAAUACUAUUACCCAGUGCUCACGAUUUAUGUUCACAUAGAUACAUGGUAACAACAACAUACCUGGUUUUGUGGAUAAUGACUACUCCAGUGCCACAACUGUAGAAUACACUAGACUGGUCAAAAGUGCUCCAUUGCCUCAAUUGUAGAAUACACCGGACUGGCCAAAAGUUGUCCAUAGCCACAACUGUAGAAUAUAUGUCGCAGUUUGACCUUCAUACUCUCAAUUUGAAGCUUCAGAUCAUCCUGUUUAGCCAAAAAAUAUCAUAAAUUGCACAUUCAUUUGGGUAAACAUGUUGGCUUUCAUGUAGUGAUAUUUUGCUUUGGCAGUGUGCAUCGUAUGAUGCUGAGGCCUAGAGAUGAACCCUUCCAUCAUCUUAAAAGAAAAAAAAGUUUGUACCCAAUAGAAUGAAAUACUUUUGCCCAGGGUGAAACAGCUACCUGGGCAUGAGAAUGCCUAAGGUCUCUUGCAGUUUCUGAAACUGCUGCCUGCAGAUCAGAGAUAUCU